rnacentral:rRNA from 1 species
GACGAACGCUGGCGGCGUGCCUAAUACAUGCAAGUAGAACGCUGAAGGAGGAGCUUGCUUCUCUGGAUGAGUUGCGAACGGGUGAGUAACGCGUAGGUAACCUGCCUGGUAGUGGGGGAUAACUAUUGGAAACGAUAGCUAAUACCGCAUAAUAGCAGUUGUUGCAUGAUAACUGUUUGAAAGGUGCAAUUGCACCGCUACCAGAUGGACCUGCGUUGUAUUAGCUAGUUGGUGGGGUAACGGCUCACCAAGGCGACGAUACAUAGCCGACCUGAGAGGGGGAUCGGCCACACUGGGACUGAGACACGGCCCAGACUCCUACGGGAGGCAGCAGUAGGGAAUCUUCGGCAAUGGACGGAAGUCUGACCGAGCAACGCCGCGUGAGUGAAGAAGGGUUUCGGAUCGUAAAGCUCUGUUGUAAGAGAAGAACGAGUGUGAGAGUGGAAAGUUCACACUGUGACGGUAUCUUACCAGAAAGGGACGGCUAACUACGUG